rnacentral:rRNA from 1 species
UACCAGCACCUCGAGUGGUCAGGACGUUUAUUGGGCCUAAAGCAUCCGUAGCCGGCUUUGCAAGUCUUCGGUUAAAUCCACCUGCUCAACAGAUGGGCUGCUGGAGAUACUACAAAGCUAGGGAGUGGGAGAGGCAGACGGUAUUCAGUGGGUAGGGGUAAAAUCCUCUGAUCCAUUGAGGACCACCAGUGGCGAAGGCGGUCUGCCCGAACACGUUCGACGGUGAGGGAUGAAAGCUGGGGGAGCAAACCGG